rnacentral:misc_RNA from 1 species
AAGUCGUAACAAGGUUUCCGUAGGUGAACCUGCGGAAGGAUCAUUACCUAGAGUUGUAGGCUUUGCCUGCUAUCUCUUACCCAUGUCUUUUGAGUACCUUCGUUUCCUCGGCGGGUCCGCCCGCCGAUUGGACAAUUUAAACCAUUUGCAGUUGCAAUCAGCGUCUGAAAAAACUUUAAUAGUUACAACUUUCAACAACGGAUCUCUUGGUUCUG